rnacentral:rRNA from 1 species
GGUCCUACGGGGGGCAGCAGUGGGGAAUAUUGGGCAAUGGGCGCAAGCCUGACCCAGCAACGCCGCGUGAAGGAAGAAGGCUUUCGGGUUGUAAACUUCCUUUCUGGGGGACGAAGAAAGUGACGGUACCCCAGGAAUAAGCCACGGCUAACUACGUGCCAGCAGCCGCGGUAAUACGUAGGUGGCAAGCGUUAUCCGGAUUUAUUGGGUGUAAAGGGCGUGUAGGCGGAAGUGAA